UCCCUGAUGGUCCAGUGGUUAGGAUGCAGAGCUUUUACCACCCGCGGCCUGGGUUCGAUUCCCGGUCAGGGAA